rnacentral:rRNA from 1 species
ACUACGGAGGGGUAGCGUUCGUUACGGAACUUAACUCGGGCGGGUAAAGACGGCGCGUAGGCGGAUUGGAAAGUUGGGGGUGAAAUACCCGGGGCUCAACCCCCGGAACUGCCUCCAAAACUUCCAGUCUGGAGUUCGAGAGAGGUGAGUGGAAUUCCGAGUGUAGAGGUGAAAUUCGUAGAUAUUCGGAGGAAACACCAGUGGCGAAGGCGGCUCACUGGCUCGUAUACUGACGCUGAGGUGCGAAAGUGUGGGGAGCAAACAGGAUUAGAUACCCCCGUAGU